CAUAGCAACCAGAACACAUCCAGCCUCCUCUGCUCUCACCAAGCACUGGGCCUGAGAACCAGCAGGUCAGCUUAAGGAUGGAUUGAUGAUUAAAUGAGUGAGAUAGUAGAAAUAACUCAGUGAUGGAAAAACAACCCAAACCAACCACAGAAAUAGUCAAAAAGAAUGGAGGCCAGAGCCAUUAAGGUGACUUACCGAAGAUCUAUGUCUUUGGCAAAGCAAGUGCUCUUUCCACUCCAUUCUUGGCCUACAUUUAAGUGCAUCUAAAGACUAUUUACCAAUUAUUAAAUAAAACAUAAUUAGAAUGAAA